ACAAACAAACAAAAAAAACCUGGAGAAUAUCAGCUGCAGACAAAAUGUAUUCAGAAGGAGGAAAUAUUUUUGGCUGCCCUGAAACCCCCUUCGUGAUUCUUUGACAUACAUACAAAGGUUUUGUGUGUGUGUUUUUCUGUAGAACUGAAGAUCAUCUGUUCUUCCACCAUUACUGGGAUUUGUUUUUGUGGUCAGGUGUCUUUCAUGGAAUCAAAAAUACGACUGAACACAAAACUCCUUCCACUUUUCCUCAUCUGAUUCAAGUGUAUUUCUAGCUGAGAAAUACCGUUUGGCAAUGAAAUGCUUCCAAGAUGUAGAGGAGGGGAGAAAAUGGAAUCCUGUCCUAGAGAGACGGUGGAAAACUAAUCAAGGGCUGCAGAAAGAGGAAAGGAAGGAAGAAUGUCUGAAUGCUAUCAAAACUGAGCAAAAGAUCUUGCAAGGUGGAACAUGAACAUUUUGGAGGCCAGGAAGAGACACCAGGGAGUCUACUGGAUGAAAUGGAACAAGAAGAGCAGCCCCCAUAUUAGAUAAGUAUUAUAAAUGACUUAGGAUGGUGAUGUGUACAUGGGUGUUUCCUGAGCAAGAGAAAAGCAUCUGUUUAUUUGCUUCACCUUCUGUAGGACGUUUCUGAGUAAAAUCACUUGCAAGAUGCACGGAUUAUACAUUGUGCACCUGUAGCCAUCUCCCCAAGGAGACCCGGUGUGGUGUAAUUGAUAGGCUGACAGAUUAGGACUCAGGAAACCCAAAUCUGAUUUCCCCAUUUGGCUGUGGAAACACACACUGGAGGGGCGUGUGUGUGAAACUACUCCCUAAUUACAGUGAGGUCUCAACUUACGAACUUAAUCCAUAUUGGAAGGCGGUUCAGGUCG